GAAGUCCAGACGCUUUUCUUCGCAAACUCCUUUGACUACGAUGACCUGGAUGACUGAGAACCUUCACAGACUUACAAGUGGAAUGCAACAAGUGUGUGUUUCAUACCACUGGUACCUUGUUAGGUGGUGAUGAUCGUGCUCUUACUGGUCGCAGUUAUGGAGGGAGUGGUCCUAUUGGUUGGCUCCCACAUUAGGAAGGCGGGGUUGGGGCCUUCCUAUUAUCAUUAUGCCAACAUUAUUAAUAUGGUAUAGUCUUCCUCCCCUUUUUCCUUCCUGCUGUCACCAAAUGCUUGCUCAUCGGGGCUCAAACUCAUCAGCAACCAGCUGCAGAGGAGCUUGCAUCCACUAAAAGCAGCAGGAACAAAGUCAGGAAACAAAUGCUCCGAAGGAAAAAGUGAAAAACCUCAAAGCAAACAGACACUCAAAGAAAGGAAGACGAAGAAGAGAAAGGAAAGGAGGAAAAACAAAAGACGAGAGAAGAAAUUCACUGAAACAUCACUUGAUGAUUGCACAAAAACUCAGAUCUGACAAACCGUACACCUUGCACAAAGCUUUGGACCUCAUUACAGCACCAGUUGAAGAUGGAGGUUUGGUCCACUCAUCUGGUCUGGGUUCUGCCAACUUCAUUGAAGGGAUAGAUCUUUGCCAUGAAAUGGGUAGCAGUCGAUGAACCGGUUUUUGAACUGCUGCAGUAUCCAGAUUUUGAAGCAAUUCACCCGAUGGUCCACUGGCUUGAGAUCGGUGUGUUGCGUGGCCUCUUAACUUAAGAAAACCUCCGUAUUAUGGGUCAAGUUAUUAAUCAACUGCAACAAGAUGAUGAUGAGGAGGACAAUUUUCAGAAGGAUGAGGCUGAUGAGAAAGAGGCUGAUGUUCCAGCAGCAGGCAUAGAAAUAAAUCCACCUCAAGUUGAAGAACCCUGGCUCAAUAACAGAGCAGAGAUCCCAGCAGGAGAAAUGGAAAUAAACCCAGCCCAACAAGCUGAAGAUCCCAUAGCUGAAGAAAUGAGGUCAUUCUGGGAUAACGAGGAGGCUGAGUGACAGCGACAGUGUCCCUGAGAGUGGUCCUGACAGUGACACCGAUCACAGUGACACUGACGACAGCGACAGUGAUGAUGAUGGAGCCAAGGGUGGAGGAGAAUGAUGAAGAGGAAGAUGGGAGACCUAGAAAACAAUCCAAACACUGAAUUUUGCUCCUGGACACUCAGUGUUGCACCCAUCCUCCAAACCCACAGUCCCCCGUCCUAACAAACUGUAUCUCGGCUUUCCCCCUCUGAUGCACUGACUUAGUUUCCUGCCACCAGCGACCUGUUCACCUGACUGCCACGUACCACCUGUGGAUAUUUGUUCAGCCUGUGACCCACUAUGAUUGUGCUUACAAGUGGAAUGCAACAAGUGUGUGUUUCAUACCACUGGUACCUUGUUAGGUGGUGAUGAUCGUGCUCUUACUGGUCGCAGUUAUGGAGGGAGUGGUCCUAUUGGUUGGCUCCCACAUUAGGAAGGCGGGGUUGGGGCCUUCCUAUUAUCAUUAUGCCAACAUUAUUAAUAUGGUAUAGUCUUCCUCCCCUUUUUCCUUCCUGCUGUCACCAAAUGCUUGCUCAUCGGGGCUCAAACUCAUCAGCAACCAGCUGCAGAGGAGCUUGCAUCCACUAAAAGCAGCAGGAACAAAGUCAGGAAACAAAUGCUCCGAAGGAAAAAGUGAAAAACCUCAAAGCAAACAGACACUCAAAGAAAGGAAGACGAAGAAGAGAAAGGAAAGGAGGAAAAACAAAAGACGAGAGAAGAAAUUCACUGAAACAUCACUUGAUGAUUGCACAAAAA